GCCGACGUAGCUCAGUGGUAGAGCAACGCUUUCGUAAAGCGUAGGUCGGUGGUUCGAAUCCACUCGUCGGCU
rnacentral:tRNA from 1 species